CUGGCAAUGCUUCGGGUGGGAAAGCUAGUGCAGAGAAGUGCCUAAAAGUCACUUCCUCGGGGAGCACAGCUUCUGUAGAGGCUGGGGUCUCAAACGUGGAUUCCAGCGCCAUGAAGAUGCAACUGGCUGGCGUCGGACCGGAUGCGGCAUCUGCCAGCCAGGCGAGACCAAGCACCGCGAGAGCAGAACUAUACAGCAGUCUACCUGCAAGACUCUGAGCAAGAGCAUUGUGCGAUGGUGGUAUGCAACCACCAUAGUUCCCAAAUUUGUAAAUUUGGGAACUAUGGCCUAAAUUUGUACUCUCGACUAUAUUAAACCCAGCGUUUUUUUAAUUGC